rnacentral:lncRNA from 1 species
GAAAAGUAGUGGAAAGAAGUUAGGGGGAACAUGCCACCAACAGAAAUACAGAUAAAACCACACUGGAUCCUUUACAAAGCUUUAUACUCGACAGUUUUAUUUCCUCUGAUUUCUUUGUUUUCCACUGGAUUUACAGCACAUGCACACAGUUGACACAUACAUGUUUUUGGCAUGCAAAAUUAUACAGGCUAUAUCACGUCAUGUGUAAAUCAUCCCUUUUAUUGGUAGAAUAUUAUUUAAACAGAGAAAGCUCGUUCCCAGACCCAUCUGACCAAUUGAAUUGUCUGCAUUAUGGAUUUACAAUACCUAGGUUAGUAAAAAUUCUAUCUUGGAGGGCAAAGCCAGGCUUUGUAAAUUUGGGCCUGGAUAGAGGAACAGUCAUGUACCUUUUUUACCACAUAGUAACAAACACAAUGUUUGGCCCCGUCUCAUCCCAACUGAAUAGUCUACCUUGACAAAUAGGGAUCAACAGCUUUACAACAGACCUUAUAACUCGUGCCUCCUACUUCACCUCAUCAACAGUGUAUCAAAUGACAUGGAGAAUCUGUAACAAAGCAUGUUGAGUACUUUAUUAUACAUUGUUGGUUAUAUGUGACUAACUUGGCCUUUCAGAAUCAGGACAUGAGUGAAGAUGAGAAGGCAUCGUUGAUUACAUGAGGUGAAUUAUACAAACAGAGUGGUUUCUGACAGAUUGGAAUGGACGCUGGGAUGGGUGGAGACUCCACCUCUGGAGCCGGAAGGGAUGCCGGGACAAGUGGGGCUCUGCCCCCAGAGCAGGUCAUGGUGCCGGGACAGGUGGGGCUCUGCCCCCAGAGCAGGACAUGGUGCCAGGACAGGUGGGGUUCUGCCCCCAGAGCAGGACAUGGUGCCGGGACAUAUGGAGUCUGGAUGAGGCAAAGGGAUGGAGGGCGGAAGCUCCACCCCCAAAUCAGGACAGAGUGUCGGAGCAGGAGGCCGCUCCACCCUCAAAUCCAUACGGGGAGCCGGAGUGAGAGGAAUCCUUUAUGUGAAGUAGUGUACUAGCCAGUACAAAUUGAAAAUGACAUCUUAAAUAGUUAUUUAUAAUUUAAAUAAACAAUGUAAGUUACUUAUCUC